UACGGGGGGGGCAAGCGUUGUUCGGAAUUACUGGGCGUAAAGGGCUCGUAGGUGGCCAACUAAGUCAUACGUGAAAUCCCUCGGCUUAACCGGGGAACUGCGUCUGAUACUGGUUGGCUUGAGUUUGGGAGAGGGAUGCGGAAUUCCAGGUGUAGCGGUGAAAUGCGUAGAUAUCUGGAGGAACACCGGUGGCGAAGGCGGCAUCCUGGACCAAUACUGGCACUGAGGAGCGAAAGCCAGGGGAGCAAACGGG
rnacentral:rRNA from 1 species